CUUCUUUGCACAGGGGCUAUGCUAUAAUUGGAACGAUACAAAGAAGAUUAGCAUGGCUUAUGCACCACAAGGAAGAUGACCGUGUCUUAAAAACCUUGAAGGGAAGU